AGAGAGAGGGGAUGAGGAAAUGGAAAAAAAAAAAAAGAAAAAAGAAAAAGAAAGAUUACUACACGGUGAAAGGAGGAAGAGAGAUUGAGAGAAAAGAGAGACAGAGAAAUAGAGAGGCAGAGAUAGAGAGACAUCACCGUAAGGGCGCCUUCCGUUUCUCCUAUUCGAAUACUUUCUUUUCGCUUCCUUUUCAAUUUUCUUAACACCGAUGCUUGCAAUCCAGAGAUAGAGAAGGAGGAAAAAAUAAACCUUGUGAUACAGAGUUGAGAAGGAGACAGACAUUGAGAGAACUACCACCGGUUUGGAGAGGGCAAAAACAGAGAAAUAAGAGAGAAGGAGAGAGUUUUCCUUCCCUCUUUAGACUUAGAGCACCGUUGCAGCACAUAGGGAAAGAAAAAUCUAUGGGCAUCGACACCGUUAGGCUACAUAUCUAUUACCAUUAGAUCGUUGGAACCGGCUCCGUUUUCCCAGAUUAUCUGCUGCUGAACAAUCUCAAAACCGGGACUUCUUACCAAGUGCCAAAUCAAGUUCAAAGGUAACUAUUGACUGUCAUUCACAUGGGCAACAAAGCUCUACAUCAACUUUGACAUUACAAAAGUCACAAAGGAAAUUAUGCCAAAAGGACAUUCUAAAGGAUUGGAUGGAUAACUUUCUUACAUAAUAGAAAAAUAGUUGCAGAAAUAGAAGACUUGGAUGCAUAAAAAAUGCUUAAGAAUUAUGCACCAAGUUCUAUUCUUCAUACCCUUUUCUUAUUUACUUAAUUUUCUAUUUUAUUUCAGAUUAUGAGAGAUUUAAUUUUCUGUAUUUAGGCUAUGGUUUUGUAAUCUGAGCAUCCUAAGACUCUUAUAUCAACGUGAAUUUAAGUUUUGUAAUAUAUGUGAUUCUAAUUUUGAACUCAGUUAUAAUUGUAGAUUGUAAUUCAUUUGUCUCU